rnacentral:lncRNA from 1 species
CCGCUUCACCUCUCUCCAAGCCGCCGCCGUCAUUUUCUCUUUCCUCCUCUUAACCCUCGCUAUCCUUAUCUCCGAGUCAACUUCGCUCCUCCCGCUCCCUCCCGAUCUCUUUUUUGCUCUAGCAUCGGCACUUUUCUACCUCCACUACUCCGUCUCCUCAAACUCCGCCUCCGUUCAGACCUCCGAUCUUCAAGCCAAGUGCGACUCCGUUUCAGCUAACAUUUCCUUACUCUGCUUUCUUCUCUGUCUCCUCAUCGCCUUUCAACCCAGGCUUUUCCUCUUGCCUCCUCAUCUCUUUUAUCCAUCAAUCCUUUGUCUCUUUCGACGCCGAUCCUCUCCUCAAAGGCCGCACUCCUGUCCACCGCUUCACGUCUCUCCAAGCCGCUGCCGUCAUUUUCUCUUUCCUCCUCUUAGCCCUCGUUCUCCUUAUCUCCGAGUCAACUUCGCUCCUCCCGCUCCCUCCCGAUCUCUUUUUUGCCCUAGCAUCCGCACUUUUCUACCUCCACUACUCCGUCUCCUCAAACUCCGCCUCCGUUCAGACCUCCGAUCUUCAAGCCAAGUGCGAUUCCGUUUCUGCUAACAUUUCCUUACUCUGCUUUCUUCUCUGUCUCCUCAUCGCCUUUCAACCCAGGCUUUUCCUCGCUGACGUGGCGCUCGCUGGUUCAAUAUGUCUACAGGGUC